rnacentral:rRNA from 1 species
GGAGUUAGCCGGUGCUUCUUCUGUGAGUGAUGUCCUUCCUGCCGGCUAUUAACCCGCAGGCCUUCUUCCUCACUGAAAGUGCUUUACAACCCGAAGGCCUUCUUCACACACGCGGCAUGGCUGGAUCAGGGUUGCCCCCAUUGUCCAAUAUUCCCCACUGCUGCCUCCCGUAGGAGUCUGGGCCGUGUCUCAGUCCCAGUGUGGCUGAUCAUCCUCUCAGACCAGCUACGGAUCGUCGCCUUGGUGAGCCGUUACCUCACCAACCAGCUAAUCCGACAUAGGCUCAUCCGAUAGCGCGAGGCCCGAAGGUCCCCCGCUUUCCCCCGUAGGGCGUAUGCGGUAUUAGCCUGGGUUUCCCCAGGUUAUCCCCCACUACCCGGGCAGAUUCCUAUGCAUUACUCACCCGUCCGCCGCUCGCCACCAGGGAGCAAGCUCCCCGUGCUGCCGCUCGACUUGCAUGUGUUAGGCCUGCCGCCAGCGUUCAAUCUGAACCAAGAUCAAAUUCUGA